UGGGUAGUAUCAUGUAUAUGAACUAUACCAUAUUAUAUUUAAAUCUUAAAACUAAAUAGUUUUAUUAAUCUGCUCUGAGCCUUUAUUAUGGACCGAGACAGAAGA
rfam:Clostridium halophilum strain M1 genome assembly, contig: G325DRAFT_scaffold00025.25